rnacentral:tRNA from 1 species
GAGCAUGUACCUAAUGUUGGUUACGGGAGUGGUUUGCAAAACCAUAAACGCCGGUUCGAUUCCGGCUGUGCUCU